rnacentral:rRNA from 1 species
UACGUAGGGUGCAAGCGUAAUCGGAAUUACUGGGCGUAAAGCGUGCGCAGGCGGCUUUGCAAGACAGAUGUGAAAUCCCCGGGCUCAACCUGGGAACUGCAUUUGUGACUGCAUGGCUAGAGUGCGGCAGAGGGGGAUGGAAUUCCGCGUGUAGCAGUGAAAUGCGUAGAUAUGCGGAGGAACACCGAUGGCGAAGGCAAUCCCCUGGGCCUGCACUGACGCUCAUGCACGAAAGCGUGGGGAGCAAACAGG